rnacentral:rRNA from 1 species
UAAUUGGAGAGUUUGAUCCUGGCUCAGAAUGAACGCUGGCGGCGUGCCUAACACAUGCAAGUCGAACGAGAAAUUCUGGCUUCGGCUGGAAGAGUAAAGUGGCGCACGGGUGAGUAACGCGUGGGUAACCUGCCCCCGAAUCUGGGAUAACAUCGCGAAAGCGUUGCUAA